rnacentral:lncRNA from 1 species
CUCAAGGCAUAUAUCAAAAAAAUUUCAAGUCUACAAAAACAUUAUGGAAAAGUCUUCAUUGAAGUUACUUUUCUUGGUUGUUCUUCUCAUUGUAGCUGUAUAUGAAGGUAUGAUUUCUUUGUAUACGAGUAACUAAAUACAUUACACACUUGCUUUUAUAUCUUUUGUCUCAUAUUUUGUUGGAAAUGUGUGCAUUGUAGGUGUUGCACGCACAUGCAAGACAGACGCUGAUUGUGGAAGUCUCCCAGAUAUUUGUGAUGGAAAUCCUCCAUAUUUCCUUAUCUGUACCCGUUCAGGCCGAUGUGGGUGCAAGCGAUGAGAAACAAC